rnacentral:sRNA from 1 species
GAUGCCAGGGGAGCAAACCUUAGUCCGGCUCCGUGCUUGCACAGGAGCGGACGCAAGGUUUAGCGCCCCGCUCCAACAUGAGCAUAAAAGUGAAGCGUCAGCUUCGCGAUAUGCGAAUGGCGGCAGGAUUGUGAGAGUGCGGAGCACGGAACAAUCCGGGGGCAUC